GAGUUUUAUAUUGGUUUUCAAAGGUACUUAUAUAGGUAAGUGAGCGCGUGAGAGCUGAGCAUUUAUUUUAUCUAAGUAUAACGCUAGUCAAGAUUUGCGAGAGCUGAGAUUAGUGUUUUUAAAUCAAAUGUAAUUCUUGAAAACUGGCGACUGUUUUAUUUUCUUAAGCAGUUUUUAAUUAAACGUUGACUAUAAUUCGUCACGAGAGUGAGAAUUAAUUAAAGUAAAAAUCAAUAGAGCGAGAGCGUGAGAUUUCUGCUAGAUAGUAAAAACUGAACAUUAAAUCUAAUUC
rnacentral:lncRNA from 1 species